rnacentral:lncRNA from 1 species
AUGGAAGGUUCUGGAAAGGUCAGAAGGACACACAGAAGGUUCUGGAAGGGCACAGGAGGUUCUGGAAGGACCAGAAAGACACAGGAGGUUCCAGAAGAGUCUGGAAGGACAUGGAAGGUACUGGAAGGGUCAGAAGGACAUGGAAGGUGCUGGAAGGACACUGAAGGUUCUGGAAGGGUCAGAAGGACAUGGAAGGUUCUGGAAGGACACAGAAGGUUCUGGAAGGACACUGAAGGUUCUGGAAGGUCACGGAAGGUUCUGGAAGGGUCAGAAGGACACAGAAGGUUCUGGAAGGUCACGGAAGGUUCUGGAAGGGUCAGAAAGACACAGAAGGUUCUGGAAGGCUCAGAAGGACACAGAAGGUUCUGGAAGGACACAGAAGGUUCUGGAAGGCUCAGAAGGACACUGAAGGUUCUGGAAGGACAUGGAAGGUUCUGGAAGGGUCAGAAGGCCAUGGAAGGUUCUGGAAGGACACAGAAGGUUCCAGAAGGGUCAGAAGGACACAGAAGGUUCUGGAAGGGUCAGAAGGGCAUGGAAGGUUCUGGAAGGGUCAGAAGGACACAGAAGGUUCUGGAAGGACAUGGAAGGUUCUGGAAGGCUCAGAAGGACAUAGAAGGUUCUGGAAGGACACAGAAGGUUCUGGAAGGACACAGAAGGUUCUGGAAGGUCAUGGAAGGUUCUAGAAGGGUCAGAAGGACACAGAAGGUUCUGGAAGGGCACAGGAGGUUCUGGAAGGGUCAGAAGGACACGGAAGGUUCUGGAAGGCUCAGAAGGACACGGAAGGUUCCGGAAGGCCCCGGCAGCUCACCUCGCAGCAGCUCGGGCUGCACGAAGCCCAGCACGUCGGCCACGCCCAGCUCCUGGCGGGCGCAGGUGCCGCCGUGGAUGCGCAGCCAGGCGGGCUCGGCCAGCGCGGUGCAGAGCGCGGUGACGGCCAGAGCGCCCGGCAGCGCCGAGGCCAGGCUGCGCUCCGGCUGCUUGGGCAGCGCCGCCGCGCCGCGCCGCCGCCGCGCGCCCGCCGCGCCCGCCGCCGCUGCCCCCGGGUACAUGGCGGCACAGUGCCGGGAGGGAACGGCAACGGGGACGGCACCGGGAGUGGCACCGGGGAUGGCACCGGGAGUGGCACCGGGAUCGGGACCGGGAACGGCACCGGGGUUACGGACACCGGGUCUGGGUCACCGGCACUGGGAGUGGCACCGGCACCAGGAGCGGGGUUAG